GAUCAUGGCUCAGGAUGAACGCUGGCGGCGUGCCUAAUACAUGCAAGUCGAACGAGGUAGCAAUACCUAGUGGCGAACGGGUGAGUAACACGUAGGUAACCUGCCCUUAAGCUUGGGAUACCCAGAGGAAACUUUGGCUAAUGCCGGAUAACAACUGAGAUCGCAUGAUCUUAGCUUGAAAGGCCCUUUCGGGUCACUUAAGGAUGGACCUGCGGCGCAUUAGCUAGUUGGUGAGAUAACAGCCCACCAAGGCGAGGAUGCGUAGCCGAACUGAGAGGUUGAUCGGCCACAUUGGAACUGAGACACGGUCCAAACUCCUACGGGAGGCAGCAGUAAGGAGUUUUCGGCAAUGGGGGAAACCCUGACCGAGCAACGCCGCGUGAGCGAUGACGGCCCUAAUGGGUUGUAAAGCUCUGUUGUAAGCCAAGAAUGGUAGUGCUAGGAAAUGAGCAUUACUUGACGGUAGCUUACCAGAAAGCCACGGCUAACUACGUGCCAGCAGCUGC
rnacentral:rRNA from 1 species